GACGUAGGGCGCGAGCGUUGUCCGGAAUUAUUGGGCGUAAAGAGCUCGUAGGCGGUUCGGCAAGUCGGAUGUGAAAUCUCCACGCUCAACGUGGAGGGGCCAUUCGAAACUGCCGUGACUCGAGUCCGGUAGGGGAGUGUGGAAUUCCUGGUGUAGCGGUGAAAUGCGUAGAUAUCUGGAGGAACACCGGUGGCGAAGGCGGCAUCCUGGACCGACAUUGACGCUGAGGAGCGAAAGCUAGGGGAGCAAACGGG
rnacentral:rRNA from 1 species